UACGUAGGGGGGCGAGCGUUAUCCGGAAUUAUUGGGCGUAAAGGGUGCGUAGGCGGCGCGGUAAGUCGGGUGUGAAAUCUCGGAGCUUAACUCCGAAACUGCAUUCGAUACUGCCGUGCUUGAGGACUGGAGAGGAGACUGGAAUUCAUGGUGUAGCAGUGAAAUGCGUAGAGAUCAUGAGGAAGACCAGUGGCGAAGGCGGGUCUCUGGACAGUUCCUGACAGCUGAGACACGAAGGCCAGGGGAGCAAACGGG
rnacentral:rRNA from 1 species